AUCUCUUGCGGCAUUCAUUCUUCCUUCACAACGUAUCCGGUGCUUCUCUGUUUUCCGUAAUUAAUUUCGUCGGUUUCUCUUUCAAACCUUUUAUUCUCGGACUUUGUUUAGCGUUCUGGAUACAGCAAUAUACAAAACCAAAGAAGGAGAAUGCCGGCGUUGGUCUUGGAUGAGAGCGAAUGAGUUUGAUGCAGGGAAACAAGAACAAAGAGCCAAAGCGAGGUAGGGUUUGGAUUCAGAAGAAAAGAGCGUACCUGUAAAAGAGUCAAGAUGGAAAAGGUGAACAUGAGUUGCAGAUUGCUGAUCAAACAUCUACUUCUUCUACAAUGUUCUACAGAGUGUGACCCCUUUGAAGCUUUUUUCUGAAUCGGUCAAUCCGUCAGCGUUGUCUGCUUUCGCCCUCCGUCGUCCUCGAUGCUUCUCCUGUCUCCUAUUGCCUGCCGCUCCAUGUCGAGGUUGGCGAUGACUGGCGUAGCUUACGCAUCAUCAGUGUCGUCUGCGCUGUUUGCUUUCCCCCUCCUCCAAUCUCAAUUGUCUGCCGCUCCACGUCAAGUUUCUAAAUCAACUUGGGAAGAUUAAAAAUGAUAAUUUCCUCAAACCGACUUAGCGUUGUGGACUUGCCCUCAUGCGUCCAGGAAGAUUGGAUAGAAAAAUGGAAUGGAACAUGAUGUGAUUGUCUCACAAAUCCUUAGUGUAAUUCAAGUGGAGUCUUAAAUUAAGAUCACAGCUAGCCAUAUUUUUCAACAGUGUGAUUCAAGUGUAUCAUCUUACCCAAACGAAAGACAGUAGGAGCAACGAAGGAGAUAAAUGGGAGUGGAUAUGAGAAUUCUUACUAAACGUACAAGUUGCAGCGUUGUUGUCUCCCGCCAAGAUUAUAUGAAUAAGAGUUAUGUGAAUAGAGAGAGAGAAGACUGGGACAGAAAAAUGCUAAAAUGAGUCAUUUUAGACUGCAUGAACUUCAAUUUUCCCAGAAUAAGAAAGUAAAGUGCUCAUCCAGCAGAGGCAACGGCAAAGUGAAGGACAAGAAAGGUAGUGGACAGAAAGAUUCAUAUGCAAAUCAACCUAUGAUCAUUUGUAUCAAGUGACAUGAUGCAUUUAGAAACUGCAGGUUAUUGUUGUUGAUUCUCAAGAGGAUGAUAGUAGGAAUAAGAAGGGUAUCAGUAUCACCAACUCUGCUAAUAAAUAUUAUUGGCUUAUUUGAGGUCAACACCAUAGGUUUUGGUUAAAAAUGAUGGCUAGAAUGGUAUAUAUGGAGUGAGAAGGAUUAUGGAAAAAUUGUUAAGGCAUGACACUGCCCAUUGAGAUUAUCCAAAGGCCUAAGUCACUUGAUUUAGGAGUGCAGUUCUCUAGCAGCCCUGAUGAGCCAGCCACUGAGUGAGCUAGGAUCAAGUUUUCAAGAAUUGGUGCUUUUGAGAAGCAUACUAAAACUGAGCCAGCUAGGAGGAAGUCUUCAAGAAUUGGUGCUUUGGAAAACAUACCAAAGAUUUUGGAUCAAAGGUGAUGGCUAAGACGGUAGGUAGAGAAUCAUAAUGUAAUUACACCAUUGAGUAUUGUUAGGCUACCAAAGCCAUGAGGACAAGGCUCCAAAAGUUUGUAAGAUCAAGUUUUGAUCGAGUAGUACAACUCUAUGUUUUGAUGAUUACAAGUUAACAUUUUAGUAUGAACAAUUAUGGUACUCUAACGUGUUUUUCUGAGUGUGCUAUUUACAGGCUCUGACCUCAAUUUAAUCUCACACAAAUCAGAAGCACUGUGCUUAAAGAGUGACCCAAGCAGCGCUUUCGCAACAUCUAUGUUCACUCUGAACAGUAGAAACGCUUCAGAAGAUCUGAAGUCAUACAAGCUCUGAUAUGGACUCAGUCACUUGAAGUUCUGAAGAUCCAGACGUUCUGACAACCCAGACACUCUGAAGGUUCAGAUGUUCUGAUGGUGUAGAAGACUCUGAAGAUCCAGAAGCUGAAAAGUGGAAACUCUGAUGUCUAGAAGCAAGAUGACUCUGAAGACCAUGUACUUCCCUCUGAGUUCAGAAUCAGAAGAUACAACGGUCAGAGGAUCUCUGCUUCCCUCUGACUCUGAUCAACGAGCUUCACAAGUUCCAACAUGAAGCAUUCCCCUGAUUAGAAGUCUACUAGGUUUAAAGGUCAAGUCACUAUCCAAGUACAAAAGCAAAUGUACUAUCCUGACGACCUACCUAACAUUCUCAGCCACAGCAGAAGCUGGAAUUUCCAGAACUGCCCUCCAACGGUAGCAUUCUCAUGCAGCGUUCAAACCCUAAUCCUUGGAGUAUAAAUAGAGGCUGAAGAUUGAAAGAUGCGAUUGGAAGAAUCUCACACGCGCAAGCUAUAUUCAAACCUUCUAAGCAUUCUUUCAUCUGAAUUCAUUGUGUUUACUAUUAGCUUUUCAGAAGCAAAUUCUUUGUAAACAUUCUUUCUUAAACAGUUGUUUAGUUACCUUUAGGAGAUCAAGUUUGAUCGGAUCCUAGAGAAGACUAAGAGAGUGAAUCUUAGUGUCAGCUAAGUCAGUGUAUUGUUAGUCACUUGUAGGUUUCAAGUGCAGUUGUAACAUUUACCUGAUUAGUGGAUUGCCUUCAUUCUAAGAAGGAAGAAAUCACCUUAACGGGUGGACUGGAUUAGCUUGAGUGAUUCAUCAAGUG